GCGGGAGUAGCUCAUUUGGUAGAGCGCAGCCUUGCCAAGGCUGAGGUGGCGGGUUCGAGCCCCGUCUCCCGCUCCA
rnacentral:tRNA from 3 species